GAAACUAACAAGGAUUCCCCUAGUAACGGCGAGUGAAGCGGGAAGAGCACGAAUUUAAAAUCUACCUGGUUUCCAGGUCGAGUUGUAAUUUGAGGAUACGUUUUUGACGUUCUGGGUUGGACUAAAUCCUUUGGGAUAAGGUAUCAUAGAGGGUGAGAAUCCCGUAUAUACCAACCGUAGGGAUGUUAUUAAAUACGUUUCUAAGAGUCGAGUUGUUUGGGAAUGCAGCUCUAAAUGGGUGGUAAAUUUCACCUAAUGCUAAAUAUAAGCGAGAGACCGAUAGCGAACAAGUACAGUGAUGGAAAGAUGAAAAGAACUUUGAAAAGAGAGUUAAAUAGUACGUGAAAUUGUUGAAAGGGAAACGAUUGAAGUCAGUCAUGCCGACGGGAAUCAACUUAGAGGAAACUCUGGGUGCACUUCUUCGUUUGGCAGGUUAGUGUCGAUUUUGGAUGUCAUAAAAUAAUUGGGGGAAGGUAGCUCCUUCGGGAGUGUUAUAGCCCUUGGUAGAUGUGAUGUCUGGGAUCGAGGAUUGCAACGGAUACCCUUCGGGGCUAACCGCCCGAUCUCUAAUUGGUGUUGGGUUACGGACAGCAUGCUGACCGUGAUCUAAUUACUGGUUAAAAGGUUAGAGCGUGUAUAAAUUCGUUAAGGACGCUGACGUAAUGGCUUUAAACGAC
rnacentral:rRNA from 1 species